UCUCCGUUGGUGGACCAGCGGAGGGAUCAUUACCGAGUUAUCAACACCCAAACCCCUGUGAACAUACCUGAACGUUGCCUCGGCGGGACCGCCCCGGCGCCCAUCUCGCGGCCCGGAACCAGGCGCCCGCCGGAGGACCCAAACUCUUGCUUUGAACAGUGGCAUACUCUCUGAGUCUCACAAACAAAAAAUGAAUCAAAACUUUCAACAACGGAUCUCUUGGCUCUG
rnacentral:misc_RNA from 1 species